UGCGUAGGCGGAAUGGUAAGUUAGUGGUGAAAUCCCCCGGCUCAACCGGGGAACUGCCAUUAAUACUGCCGUUCUUGAGUAUAGUUGAAGUGGGCGGAAUGUAUCAUGUAGCGGUGAAAUGCUUAGAUAUGAUACAGAACACCGAUAGCGUAGGCAGCUCACUAAACUAUAACUGACGCUCAGGCACGAAAGCGUGGGGAGCAAACAGGAUUAGAUACCCUGGUAGUCCACGCCGUAAACGAUGAUCACUCGCUGUUGGCGAUACACAGUCAGCGGUAAAGGGAAACCAUUAAGUGAUCCACCUGGGGAGUACGGUCGCAAGAUUGAAACUCAAAGGAAUUGACGGGGGCCCGCACAAGCGGAGGAGCAUGUGGUUUAAUUCGAUGAUAUGCGAGGAACCUUACCUGGGCUUAAAUGUAAGACGACAGUCCCCGAAAGGGGACCUUCCUUCGGGACGUCCUACAAGGUGCUGCAUGGUUGUCGUCAGCUCGUGCCGUGAGGUGACGGGUUAAGUCCCAUAACGAGCGCAACCCCUAUCCUUAGUUGCCAUGAGGUAAUGCUGGGGACUCUGAGGAAACUGCCUACGCAAGUAGCGAGGAAGGUGGGGAUGACGUCAAAUCAGCACGGCCCUUAUGUCCAGGGGCUACACACGUGCUACAAUGGCCGGUACAGAGGGCAGCUACCUGGUGACAGGAUGCUAAUCUCG
rnacentral:rRNA from 1 species